UGGGGAAUUUUGCACAAUGGGGGAAACCCUGAUGCAGCGACGCCGCGUGAUUUAGAAGGCCUUCGGGUUGUAAAAAUCUUUUCUAUGGGAAGAAAAUGACAGUACCAUAGGAAUAAGGACCGGCUAAUUACGUGCCAGCAGCCGCGGUAAUACGUAAGGUCCGAGCGUUGUCCGGAAUCAUUGGGCGUAAAGGGUACGUAGGCGGGUAAGCAAGUUAGAAGUGAAAUCCUAUAGCUCAACUAUAGUAAGCUUUUAAAACUGCUCAUCUUGAGGUGUGGAAGGGAAAGUGGAAUUCCUAGUGUAGCGGUGAAAUGCGCAGAUAUUAGGAGGAAUACCGGUGGCGAAGGCGACUUUCUGGCCAUAACCUGACGCUGAGGUACGAAAGCGUGGGUAGCAAACAGG
rnacentral:rRNA from 1 species